rnacentral:rRNA from 1 species
UACGGAGGGUGCAAGCGUUGCUCGGAAUUAUUGGGCGUAAAGGGCAGGUAGGUGGUCUCGUUUGUCAGGGGUGAAAGCCUUGGGCUUAACUCAAGAAGUGCCCCUGAAACGGCGAGACUAGAGUGCUGGAGAGGUCGGUGGAAUUCCCGGUGUAGCGGUGAAAUUCGUAGAUAUCGGGAGGAACACCGGUGGCGAAGGCGGCGAACUGGUUCGAUACUGACACUGAGGUGCGAAAGCGUGGGGAGCAAACAGG